UCCUGCUGCACAUUGGUUGGAAUAUUAAUUUUGCAGGCUAAUCCAUCUGGCCAUCUGCUCAUCUGAAAUUCAGACAGGGCUGCGUAUUGCAAGUUAAUAGCCUAUAACAACCAAUAGCUCCAAGUGAUCAGCAGAAUGUGUCAUCCUGCCUCCCUCCUCCAUCAGCCAACGGGUGUGACUUGUCAUUUAAUACUUCAGCUACUGAUUAUUCCUGAUGGGGGGAAAAGGUGAGAAAGCAAAUGUCUGAGCUGGUAGUGAUGUUUGGCAUGCAUCUUGUGGAUCCACUUCUUUGUUGCUCUCUCCUAUGGUCCAAUUAUUAUGGGUUGUGCCAAAGGCUAGAGGAAAGACUGUGUUUAGAUCUUCAGAUUGGAAGUAGCGUGACAAAUAAUUUCCUCUGAGAAUUACUUUCCUGUGGAAAGAAUUGGUCUUGACUGGAUAGUCAAGACCAAUAUUUCAAGCUCUUGACUGGUCUGUGGAAACCAUGAAUAUAUGCAGUUUUUUUUCAAACCUAGUAAAAAUUUGAUUUGACACAGUUCCAACAUCCAAACUGAGGAUUGCUAUGCAGAGUUGAGAAACGCGUGAUGAGCUUUGAAAUUUGUACCUGCCUUUAUUAAAGGUUCACUGGACAGCUAACACUCUCUGAAUCAAUGCCUCUAAAUCACCAAUGUUUGCCUAGUGUUUGAAAAAAUCUUAAGUAUAUCAGAACCAGUAUUUGUCCUUGUCUUGUUUGUAAUUUGAACCCUAAAUUUGGAUGAAUUUGUUUGACACAGGCUGCCUUUGCAAAUGAUGUGGUUUGAUUAGCUGCCAAAGUCUUGCUCAGAUCAGUGAUACACUUGAAAUGUUUAAUAUUUUUGGUUAUUAUGACUAGACAUUUUUAUGUCUCACCUUGAUGUGAUUGUGGCAUUAGUUAUAUAAUAAAUGUGAAACUCAGCAAUAGUUAUUCCUUCUUGUGUUCUUAUGGUGCUGUAACAUGGUGAGAGGAGGAUUUACAGAAAGAAAAUGUGGGGCAUGAUCCAGCUCUGAGGCUUUCCAUAAUGCUCAUGUGCCUGACCACCUUUUGCACCUAUGCAGAUCUUCAUUUCUAUGAGUCAAAGCAUUUGUUAAGAAACAAACCAUGGCUUUCUACAUUUUUGAUAACACAGAAUUUGGAACAGAGGCAGGCUUUGCUAUUUCCUACUCUGUCAUUACCUGAAAUAAAGAAGCAAAUUUAAAACCAGCACCAAAAUGCUAGCUGCAAAGAGGGGUUUCAUUUUGGUGAAGGAAGAAUUGUGAAUGGAGAAGUCCUUGGUAGCUUUAACCUUCCCUGAAGCUGUUUUUACAAGAGAGAAAGAUGAUCUACCUUACAACCCAUAUGAUGGAAUGUCCCACCAUUCAUAAGCAAAAGAAGGUUUUUUUCUUUCUCUUCAGAGCUGUUGCUUCUUAGGUAAUCUUCACUGUUUUUCUUGGAUGAUGGAACAUAUUUUUCAAGUACUCUGCCUGUUUACAAAGCUUCAGCCCUCAGAGAACAGAAGUGGUACUGUCUGACCGGUAGAACCAGUCAGAUGGCUGGAAAAGCAAAUUCCAAAUGCUAAGCCCACAAGUGAAUAAAGAACAGCUCAUGUGCACCCACUUAUAUUUGCUUUGUUUAUAAGCAGUGAAUGCUAAAUGACUAUGAAUAAUUCACAAAAAUUAUGUCUUCCUUGCAAACAGCCUGAAUGUGCAAACUGAAGCCACUUCCCUGUGACUAGGUUUUAACCAGUUCUCAGUGUAAUAAGCAGAUAUUCUCUCUAAAUAUUCACUUGCAUUUAUAGAUAUAAAUGUUAUUGUUCACAUGCAGCCAGGAAAUCCUGCCUGAAGACUGAUUGUCUCUGGUAUCGUGCUUCUUAUCUAGAGGCCUUCACUGUGCAAAACAAGUAUCAAAUGCUGCCACUCUGAUGUAAGUACAAGUGAUAACAUGAGAGAGAUAGGAACAGAGAAUGCAUCCCAAAGGAGCUGUGGUUUUAUUAGCAACAUUGAGGCAUCUCUGUGCUGAGCCAUCUCAUCUGAACGAGGCUGGUGGCUUAUGAAGGUAGAGAAGUAUCCUUUGAUGAGAAAAUGCAAAUCCCAAACAAAACGUUUGCAGAACCACUAAUCACCAUCUCCAUGCAAUUGAGCAGCCAUGUGGUGGUACAGAGUGACUCAAAGAGGUUGCAAGCAGCUGCAUGUGGCUCUCAACCAGCAGAAAGGAGAUAGUGGUGGCUUCAGGCUGAAAACUGGACCUGGAUAUGGAGGAGGAGUGUGCAUGGGGAUCCACU